rnacentral:lncRNA from 1 species
ACCCUAGACUCCUCCCGCCCCCACGCCAGCCUCCACCUCCCCCAGGGGCGCCGGCGAGGCCCCUGGGGAUCGCUCCGCUCUCGGGUUGCGCGCGCGUGCGUUGUGUCUCGCGUGGAGCCAGCGCCGCGCCCACCCCUCCCCCGGCCCACUCCCCGGGGCAAUGUGUGCGUGUGCAUGUGUGCGUGUUAUGUGUGUGCGUUGGGGGUAGGGGUCCUACCUUCGAUGCAACACACCCGCCACAGUCCCGAAUGGGUGAGGUCGCCGCGAGCGCGGCGGGGCGGGGGCCCGUCGUCCAUGGUCAGGUUGGUGCCGUUGCAGAUGUGCGCGCUGGAGUACAGCCAGUAGUCGGUGCCGAUGGCGAUGGCCAUGAGCGAGAAGGCGGCGAAGGCUCCGGCCGUGGUCAGCAGCAUCUGCAGCCCGCGGUCGCAUCGCACCAUGGCUUCAUUCACAUUAUCAGAGCGAAGGAAGCCGAGGGAAAGAAAGAUUGGUUCCCUGGAAGGACCCCGGGGAAGCUGCGUCUCCAGUCACCUCUCUUUCCAACCCGGGACAGCCAGGAUCUCCUUAGUCCCCAGGAUUCUGUAUCCCAUUCUGUGGGAUGGAGAUUGCGUCCCCUUUCCUUCUUUCCCCACGGCCUUAUGGCUGUACCUGGUUAUGAAGGUCUAGGCAGGGAUGUACUGUGAGACUCCUCGCGUUUCCAAAGGGCCCAGAUGUGGGUCACAGACGGGAGACAUUCUUUAUGGGCCAAGCCAGAUGAAGAUCACCUCCAUUUCAACCGAAGCAAGCCAAGGGGUUCUAGCAGGCACUGGGGAGCUCUGGACUUCUUCGAAGGGGGACUGAGGAUGUGACACACUACAGUCACACUUCUGAUAGUCCAUUGCUGAUAGAGGCAGGAACACCAGCAACUACAUUGUAGCCUCCAGCUGUUUCUUCUCCCUGUCCUUCUCUGAACCUUUACUUUUUCUCCGGUUGGCUCUUCCUCAGCCUAACCGGCUCUUCCUCACCUCCCCUUAACCUUGUCAGACUCUGCCUCGGGGCCUCUGGCCUCUUCCCUUAAUUGCUUUUGGUGCUGGCAGGGUCCCAAGCUGGAUACACUCCGAGCUCCUUGGAGCCAGGCUCCUUCCUUGCCACCCAGUUCCCCUCCUCCCCUGCAGGAGGCCUGAAACCCACGGGGGGGGGGGGAACUCAGGCCAUUUCUUACACCCUUGUCCCUGUUGCAUCCUCGAGGGUUGUUCUGUGGGCUGCUGUUCUGACCCCCUGGGAUUGAAAGAGACACAUGGAAAGCUGCUGCCCUUGCAAUUUUACCUCCCGGGCCACUUUCCCAGCUUUCCUCAGAGAAAAUAAAUGAAUGACCCCAGCCUCAGAGCACUCACUGUUCUUCCUCUCUGGAGAGUGUGAGCUCCCCCCUCGUAUAUAGCCGUGUGUGGUAGCAAUGUGCAAAUGUUUGCCCUGGGAAAAAUUAUCUUUUGCUGGGAGAAGGGAAUAUAAGGUGCCUGAUAUCCGGCUGAAUGGACCAGAAGGCAUGUGAUGGUUUCUCCUGUUUCAGGGCAAGGCUGCUCACCUCUGUCUCCAGGAGCCUCCAAGAUGAACUCAAGGUUCUGUGCUC